ACAUGUCUAGCUUGCUAGAUGAUGUCGAGUGGCGGACGGGUGAGUAAUACUUAGGAACAUGCCUUUGGGUGGGGGAUAACUAUUGGAAACGAUAGCUAAUACCGCAUGAUGUCUACGGACCAAAGGGGGCUUUUAGCUCCCGCCCAGAGAGUGGCCUAAGCGAGAUUAGCUUGUUGGUGAGGUAAAGGCUCACCAAGGCGACGAUCUCUAGCUGUUCUGAGAGGAAGAUCAGCCACACUGGAACUGAGACACGGUCCAGACUCCUACGGGAGGCAGCAGUGGGGAAUAUUGCGCAAUGGAGGAAACUCUGACGCAGCCAUGCCGCGUGAGUGAAGAAGGCCUUAGGGUUGUAAAGCUCUUUCAGACGUGAUGAUGAUGACAGUAGCGUCAAAAGAAGUUCCGGCUAACUUCGUGCCAGCAGCCGCGGUAAUACGAAGGGAACUAGCGUUGUUCGGAUUUACUGGGCGUAAAGAGCAUGUAGGCGGAUUGGACAGUUGAGGGUGAAAUCCCAGAGCUCAACUCUGGAACGGCCUUCAAUACUUCCAGUCUAGAGUCCGUAAGGGGGUGGUGGAAUUCCGAGUGUAGAGGUGAAAUUCGUAGAUAUUCGG
rnacentral:rRNA from 1 species